rnacentral:rRNA from 1 species
GACGAACGCUGGCGGCGUGCUUAACACAUGCAAGUCGAACGGAAAGGCCCUGCUUUUGUGGGGUGCUCGAGUGGCGAGCGGGUGAGUAACACGUGAGUAACCUGCCCUUGACUUUGGGAUAACUUCAGGAAACUGGGGCUAAUACCGGAUAGGAGCUCCUGCUGCAUGGUGGGGGUUGGAAAGUUUCGGCGGUUGGGGAUGGACUCGCGGCUUAUCAGCUUGUUGGUGGGGUAGUGGCUUACCAAGGCUUUGACGGGUAGCCGGCCUGAGAGGGUGACCGGCCACAUUGGGACUGAGAUACGGACCAGACGCCUACGGGAGGCAGCAGUCGGGAAUAUUGCACAAUGGGCGGAAGCCUGAUGCAGCAACGCCGCGUGCGGGAUGACGGCCUUCGGGUUGUAAACCGCUUUCGCCUAUGACGAAGCGUGAGUGACGGUAAUGGGUAAAGAAGCACCGGCUAACUACGUG